GCCUGCACGAAGUUGGAAUUGCUAGUAAUCGUGGAUCAGCAUGCCACGGUGAAUACGUUCCCGGGUCUUGUACACACCGCCCGUCACACCAUGAGAGUUGGAGAUACCCGAAGCCUAUGAGCUAACUUUUAGAGGCAGUAGUCGAAGGUAGAAUCAAUGAUUGGGGUGAAGUCGUAACAAGGUACC
rnacentral:rRNA from 1 species